AUACAUUUCAGAAAAUAAAAGAUCCGACACUUGUGCGUUUGAUUACAAGUAGGAAAAUUACAUGGAAAGAAAAUGAAUUCCAAGGAAUUGAAUUACCUAGAAAUUGUUUUCAUGGAAAUUGUAAAUUAUUGUGUUUGAUUGUAUAAAUUUUUCACGUGGAAAAUGUUGAAGUAAAAGUAUUUUUUUAUGUUUGUUUGACUUUGUUUUAUGUGGAAAUUGUCAAUUUCAGGGAUAUCCUCUUUUACAAUUAUUCCUAAAAUUUGUUCCCAUUGCCAACAAUUAAAAAAAAUAAAAAAAGCCAAAAAAAAAAGGUGAAAAACCAAAAACCACCUAUCCCCUAGGAAAAAAAAAAAGGUGGAAAAUCACGCUUUAAGGUGUUGUACCUAGAAAUUCAUGGAAAAUCAAUUCCCUGGAAAAUUUUAUCAAUCAAACAGGCCAAAAGUGGAAGUUGGAAUUCAAAUUCCAAGUUCCAUAGAAAAUUUCGUGCAAUCAAACGGAGCCUUAGAUACAUACUCGAGUUCAAGUGUCAUACGCCCAAGCUAAUCCUUGAUUGCUUGAUCUUCUGUGUAGAAUAUGUAUUUGGAGAAAAGAACUUCAAAUAAGAAGAAAGAGAGUCUGUAAAAAUGGGAACAACCUUGGCUCGUCUUUUUACUAGAGUUAUAUUGCCCUUUUCUUCUACUCCAUUUCAUUAAGUAUUAUCAUCUUCCUUGCAUGGUGAUGACGAACACAAUUGGACAAAGAACACGAUCAAUAGAGAAAGGGAUGGGAUGGGGGGAGAG
rnacentral:lncRNA from 1 species